rnacentral:lncRNA from 1 species
GGCAGCUUCUCUGCACCAAGCCUGUUUUCAAGCUGUAUCUCUUGAUGAGUAUUUUCCUGUUUUGUGAAUCCUUGUCCCUAGAAGCCGACGAUCCCUUCUCCCAGUAUCAGGGGACAUCUGGUUAUGGUAUGGAGCCAUUGGAGAUGAAUUGGUUGACUGGGCUUGUUGUUGGAAGAGGCAUCACUUUGUGCUGUCCUGUAAAAGGGAAUCUUCAUCAACAAUGCCUUUUUUUUGCAUUCUUCCCCCUUUUGAAGAAAAGAAUAAAGAAUAACAGAGCUAGAAGCCCUGCUCACUACCCCAUCCCCCAGUUGCUUAUGAUUACUUGGGCAAGAAUACAAGGAAGUACCAUAUGCUUUUACCAAGGCAUUCAAGAGGAAUUCUUGGACUUCAAGUUCCUGGACUCUGAGUGCCUGGACCCAUCCCUGAAGAAGCAGUGGCAGAGAUACAUGAUGUUCCUCAUCACGUGGCAGCUGUGGAGUGGGGGCCUUUGUGAUUUGAGCGUUGGGAGGUCCUGAACCCUAGAUUUCUGGAGGAGUGUCGAUACUUUCUGAACCUUGGUCUCCUAGACUGAAGAUGAGAAAGUUACUGGCCAGUGAAAUCCUGGAAUUUAGCCUUAUUGAGAAAGACAAGGCAGUGCUAGCCUUAGGAUUGCCUCACUAGUAACCCAUGUUUGAGAAUUAUGGCACUCAGUCAUCUAGAGAGAGGGAAGGAAUUCUUGGGCAGUGACUCCCUCUUAGAGGCAGCCUUCUAGAGGCAAAGAGGCAGAGAGUUCCUGAGUAGCAUUAGCUUCUUGGAGACAUAAGAUGUUUAUAUCUGGAGUAAGGUAGGAUUCACUGGAGAGGAGAGGGGAAAUUAUUAACUGUAGAUUACUGUGAAUCACUUAGACGAUUUUGCAUUUCUGUGGAGUAGCUAAAGGCUCUCCUAUACCUGAUAUGUCUUUUUACUUUGAGUGUUUGGAUUGGAGGUGAGAACCCUUCUCCUGACAUACAUCUAGAACUUGAUAUUAUUCUGAGAUGGUUUUUAGGCUAGGGGCAUUAUGAACCAAAACAAAAUGAUUUUGGAGACUUACUCCUGAGAUUGAACCCGUUCUUUGCAGGCUCAGAUCUUGGGAUGCUGGGUCGUGGGUUACACAUGAUUCUUAUAUACCUCCUUGGCAUAAUGCAGCCUCAACUAUUUGAUAUCCAACCUUCUAGAAUGCUUAGGCGUCCAUAACAACUGGAGACUCUGGACUCAGAAGUA